rnacentral:lncRNA from 1 species
AGUUCUUGCACUGAUUCUCAUCUGGGAGGGUUGGUGUUCCUUUAACUGUGGUGCUGUCCAGAAAGCAUGGCUUGGGAGGCCUCAGGAAAUUUACAAUCACGGUGAAAGGCAAAGAGGAAGGAGGCACGUCUUACAUGGCUGGAGCAGGAGGAAGAGGGUGAAGGCACAAGUUCUACCCAUUUUUAAACAACCAGAUCUAAUGGGAACUUAUUAUCACAAGGACAGCAAGAGAGAAUUUACCACCAUGAUGUAAUUACCUGCCAACAGAUCCCUCCUUCAACAUACGGGAUUACAAUACGACAUGAGAUUUGGGCAGGGACACCAAUCCAAACCAUAUCACAAGCAUAAGAGAAAUGUGUUAUCUUUCAUUGCUUCAAGUAUGUAUGUGUGUGUUUCUUUGUUAAAAAAAAAUAAACAUUUUUAUCUCUUGCCAUGUCAGUGGGGGAAUCUAUACAGCUACAAUUAUAGACCAUACUUUAAAAGAGUUAGUUGUAAGUUUAAGAUGAAUAAAACCUGAAGCAAAUGAAAAUCCAUACUUUCUCCAGGAUUUUAUAAAGUGUUAGAGGAUAGUGGUUUCAUAUCAGUCUCUUUAAGUGCAAACCGUAUGCCAAUUUUGUAAAAACCUGCAUUAAUAAAGCAUUAUUUUAAGGACCAUUGGGGAGAUGAAAAAUAAAGGAUAAAUUAUCUUAUUUCUUAAUGCACAAUUUAGUAGAUGAAAAGACAUACUUCAAUAAAUUGGUAUUUGUACUUUUUAGUUUGCUAAUUUUAUCUUUAUUUUUCCAAAUGAAUAGUAACCAUGCUUUUUAACGUGUUAAACAAAACUGCUAUUACCUUAUAUGUGAGAUUCAAGUUCUAAAGAUUCAAAAGCUUUAACUCAAAUUUCAAUAAUGUUUGAAAAUGUCUUGCUGAACUUUAAAGAAAUGUGUGCAAUUUGUGCAAUCAAUAACAGUGUGGCAAACUUAC